rnacentral:lncRNA from 1 species
GCCUCUCUCUGAAACGCCUUUCCCUUAUUUAGCCAUUGCUCAACAUACUAUUGUCUCAAUUCUCUAUGGCUGAUCCCUGCUCUGUUUUAUUUUCCUUUAAAGAAAAUUUGCCAUUUGAGAGGCAUAAUCAUUUUAUGUGUCUGGAAGCAUCUCAUCUAGCCAGGUUAGCCUUGAACUCAUGAUGUAGCAAAGGAAUGACCGUGGAUACCUCCUGCUCCUACUCCUUCCAAGUGCCAAGAUUCCAAGUGUGCACCACCACAUCCAGCUAAGCUGUUUUAUGUGUCUUGCCUCACUAGUAGGUAAGCUCAUGUAGAACAUGCAGCUUAGUCGUGUGGCCCAGCAGGCAGCAAGAGCAGUGUCUGGUGCACUGUAAGCAUACAGGGUAUGCAUUAGUAUUGAUUUAAAGAACCACCAAACUCAUCCCAAGAAUCUGAUAUAGGCUGUAUACUCAGUAGUUAUCAUCUGAUUGUCUGAAACCCUUUCUUAUCUAUCCCAGGCCCUUACAGGUCCAAAAACUGAAGGUGCAGAGGAACAGAGACAUUGGGAACAAAGCACAUGGUGUUUCCUUACCGCCUUGGUGCACUGCACAUCCUUUCCCAGCAGCCAGUUGAGCUCCAAGUUGCCCUCUCCAUGGUAGCAGGACUGCAACCGCUCCUUGAUUUGCAAGUUGAUGGCCCGGAUGGGGAAGGCACAGAGGGCAGAGUCAUCAGGGGGGUGGUGGUACUGCUUCUGCCCCUUGGAGAAGAUGGCAAACAGGACAUCUUCGUCGCUGCUGAUGUUGAAGGCCUGAGCUAGAGCUUCCCCUGGCUUUGCAAGGCAGGACAACAGGAUCCUGCAUUUUCUCAAAGCCUGGAUGGUUGGUGGAGCCCAGCAGCACUACCUGAGGCAGGAAUUCUGGUGAGAAAUUCUUGGUCAUCAGUAGAGGAAAAGAAGUCUGAAGGCCACCCAGCAGAGAUCACAGGUAAUUACUUCCAAUGAUGCUCUGUGGGGAGAAGAGAAGUUAAUGAAUUCUUCUAUCUUCCUGCCUGGAGGUCAGCGGAUGG